rnacentral:lncRNA from 1 species
CGCCACAGGUUCUGCUGCCAACUCCGCCUACGAAAUCUCCAUCCGCAACCGUCUAGUUAAACAAGCCGCCUGGGCUUACCUCCAGCCCAUGUCCGCCUCCCCGGACUCCUCCACCGGCUCCCACUUCCUAUGCCGUAUCUGGAUCAAAAUCUCCUCCGCGUGUUUUCAAUUAAUCAGUCGCAUGCUCAGUGUAUUCCGUGUAAAAGAAACAGAAUUUUGACUAAAUAAAAAAAUUAACUAAUUUUUUAUCAUUAAACAAAGAAUUGUGGGUAUUUUUUUUUCCUUCUUUUUUCAUCUGUACAAUUGAUCAAGCAGAGCAAUUGACGUGCAAUCUUUUUGGCGCCAAUUCUAGUGCUGUGGUUUCUGACGCCGGAGCCUUUGGCGAGCUUGGAGUAGACUUUCGUUGGGCGUGCCUGGCGUGGUGGGCGAGUCUGGGAUGUAACCGUCUUCGGGGGAACCGGGUUCCGAUGUGACCCGCAUGUUGACUUGCGCGAGAUUGGAUUUCGUCGGCUCCGACACGGCCCGGUUGAUUGUGCUGGACCGCGGGGAUGCGAAUCCGAAUUUGGACUUGCCCGGUUUUGGCGUUCUGGGUGAGUUAAACCCGUUUUCCGGUGGCGGCGGCGCGCUCGGUGCAUGCUGCUUCUCACCGUUGUGUUUCUGAUUCUGCAAAUUAUUUUAAGUUUGUGUGGUAGCUUUGGUUACAAGUUAAAUUGAACACGCAACUUGUGAACUUAACUAACUAUCAACACUAGUAUUUAUUAUUGAAGAGUGUAAUUCUGGUAUUGCGUAUGAGAGAACUGACGAUAAAAUUGUUUGCUUCGUUUUGGGUUGCUUUCACUUGGAAGCAUGAACUUGGCUUCGAGUUAGUGAUCAUUUCCAUAAUUGUGAAAAUUUUACCUCAUGGGCAGGGGCGUUAGAGAACCUAGCAGAUUGGCCAGCCAAGAACUUGAUUAUGUCAAAGAAUUUCUCUUGACUCAGUUCUGCGCAAUUUUGCCAAUAGUAAAUAGCCAGAUCCCACAGUCUUGCUCUCAAUUCCAG